AUAUUAAGUCUGUUUUAAAAGUUCGGGGCUCAACCCCGUGAUGGAAUGGAAACUAAUAUUCUUGAGUGCAGGAGAGGAAAGUGGAAUUCCCAGUGUAGCGGUGAAAUGCGUAGAUAUUGGGAGGAACACCAGUGGCGAAGGCGACUUUCUGGACUGUGUCUGACGCUGAGGCGCGAAAGCCAGGGGAGUGAACGGGAUUAGAUACCCCGGUAAUCCUGGCCGUAAACGAUGGGUACUAGGUGUAGGAGGUAUCGACCCCUUCUGUGCCGGAGUUAACGCAAUAAGUACCCCGCCUGGGGAGUACGGCCGCGAGGUUGAAACUCAAAGGAAUUGACGGGGGCCCGCACAAGCGGUGGAGUAUGUGGUUUAAUUCGACGCAACGCGAAGAACCUUACCAGGACUUGACAUCGAUUGAAAGAUCUAGAGAUAGAUCCCUUCCCUUCGGGGAACAAGAAGACAGGUGGUGCAUGGCUGUCGUCAGCUCGUGUCGUGAGAUGUUGGGUUAAGUCCCGCAACGAGCGCAACCCUUAUCCUAUGUUGCCAGCGAGUAAAGUCGGGAACUCAUGGGAGACUGCCGCAGACAAUGCGGAGGAAGGCGGGGAUGACGUCAAGUCAUCAUGCCCCUUAUGUCCUGGGCUACACACGUACUACAAUGGGCUUAAAUAGAGGGAAGCGAAGCCGCGAGGUGGAGCGAAACCCAAAAACAAGCUCUCAGUUCGGAUUGCAGGCUGCAACUCGCCUGCAUGAAGUCGGAAUCGCUAGUAAUCGCAGAUCAGCAUGCUGCGGUGAAUACGUUCCCGGGCCUUGUACACACCGCCCGUA
rnacentral:rRNA from 1 species